UAUUUUAGUCUUGUUAGAGGAACCUGUUUUAUAAUCGAUAAACCACGUAUAUCUUACUUAUUUUAAAUAACUUGUAUACCGUCAUUAUUAGAUAACUUUCAAAAAAUUAGUUAUUAAAAUUAAAUAAAAUUAAAUAUAUUAGAUCAAGGUGCAGUUAAUAAAUAAGAAAAAAUGGGUUACAAUAAAAUUUAUUUAAAACGAAUUAUAUAAAUGUAAAAAUAUAUGAAGGAGGAUUUAAUUGUAAUUUUUCUUAUAAAAUAAUAAUAUGAUAAUAGCUCUAAAAUAU
rnacentral:rRNA from 1 species